rnacentral:rRNA from 1 species
GAUGAACGCUGGCGGCGUGCCUAAUACAUGCAAGUCGAGCGAACUGAUUAGAAGCUUGCUUCUAUGACGUUAGCGGCGGACGGGUGAGUAACACGUGGGCAACCUGCCUGUAAGACUGGGAUAACUUCGGGAAACCGAAGCUAAUACCGGAUAGGAUCAUCUCCUUCAUGGGAGAUGAUUGAAAGAUGGUUUCGGCUAUCACUUACAGAUGGGCCCGCGGUGCAUUAGCUAGUUGGUGAGGUAACGGCUCACCAAGGCAACGAUGCAUAGCCGACCUGAGAGGGGCAUCGUCCAAACUGGGACUGAGACACGGCCCAGACUCCUACGGGAGGCAGGAGUAGGGAAUCUUCCGCAAUGGACGAAAGUCUGACGGAGCAACGCCGCGUGAGUGAUGAAGGCUUUCGGGUCGUAAAGCUCUGUUGUUAGGGAAGAACAAGUACAAGAGUAACUGCUUGUACCUUGACGGUACCUAACCAGAAAGCCACGGCUAACUACGUGCCAGCAGCCGCGGUAAUAC